rnacentral:rRNA from 1 species
GACGAACGCUGGCGGCGUGCUUAACACAUGCAAGUCGAACGGUGAAGCGCCUUCCUUUUUGGUGGGUGUGGAUGAGUGGCGAACGGGUGAGUAACACGUGAGUAACCUGCCCCCUUCUUCUGGAUAACCGCAUGAAAGUGUGGCUAAUACGGGAUAUUCUGGGUCUGUCGCAUGAUGGGUCUGGGAAAGAUAUUGUUUCGGUGGGGGAUGGGCUCGCGGCCUAUUAGCUUGUUGGUGGGGUGAUGGCCUACCAAGGCGGUGACGGGUAGCCGGCCUGAGAGGGUGGACGGUCACACUGGGACUGAGACACGGCCCAGACUCCUACGGGAGGCAGCAGGGGGGAAUAUUGCACAAUGGGCGGAAGGCUGAUGCAGCGACGCCGCGGGAGGGAUGGAGGCCGUCGGGUUGUGAACCUCUUUCGCCAGUGAAGCAGGCCUGCCUCGUUUGUGGGUGGGUUGACGGUAGCUGGAUAAGAAGCGCCGGCUAACUACGUG